GAAAUGCGAUAACUAGUGUGAAUUGCAGAAUUCCGUGAAUCUUCGAGUCUUUGAACGCACAUUGCGCCCCCUGGUAUUCCGGGGGGCAUGCCUGUCCGAGCGUCAUUGCUGCCCAUCAAGCACGGCUUGUGUGUUGGGUCGUCGUCCCCUCUCCGGGGGGGACGGGCCCCAAAGGCAGCGGCGGCACCGCGUCCGAUCCUCGAGCGUAUGGGGCUUUGUCACCCGCUCUGUAGGCCCGGCCGGCGCUUGCCGAACGCAAAUCAAUCUUUUUCCAGGUUGACCUCGGAUCAGGUAGGGAUACCCGCUGAACUUAAGC
rnacentral:misc_RNA from 1 species